rnacentral:rRNA from 1 species
UACGUAGGGGACGAGCGUUGUCCGGAAUUACUGGGCGUAAAGGGCGCGCAGGCUGUAGAUCGAGUCAGCUGUGAAAUGUCUGGGCUUAACCCGGGCAUGCGGUUGAAACUGGUGUACUGGAGUGCUGUAGAGGCAAGUGGAAUUCCCAGUGUAGCGGUGAAAUGCGUAGAUAUUGGGAAGAACACCGGUGGCGAAGGCGACUUGCUGGGCAGCAACUGACGCUGAUGCGCGAAAGCCAGGGGAGGCAAACGGGAUUAGA